rnacentral:rRNA from 1 species
CAACAGGGAUUGCCCUAGUAACGGCGAGUGAAGCGGCAACAGCUCAAAUUUGAAAUCUGGCUUCGGCCCGAGUUGUAAUUUGCAGAGGAUGCUUUUGGUGCGGUGCCUUCCGAGUUCCCUGGAACGGGACGCCACAGAGGGUGAGAGCCCCGUAUGGUCGGACACCAAUCCUGUGUAAAGCUCCUUCGACGAGUCGAGUAGUUUGGGAAUGCUGCUCUAAAUGGGAGGUAAAUCUCUUCUAAAGCUAAAUACCGGCCAGAGACCGAUAGCGCACAAGUAGAGUGAUCGAAAGAUGAAAAGCACCUUGAAAAGGGGGUUAAACAGUACGUGAAAUUGUUGAAAGGGAAGCACUUGUGACCAGACUUGGGCCGGGCGGCUCAUCAGGGGUUCUCCCCUGUGCAUUCCGCCCGGUACAGGCCAGCAUCGGUUCUUACCGGGGGAUAAGAACGGCAGGAACGUGGCUCCCUCUCGGGGGAGUGUUAUAGCCUGCCGUACGAUACCCUGGCGGGGACCGAGGUUCGCGCUUCCGCAAGGAUGCUGGCGUAAUGGUUACUAGUGACCCGUCUUGAAACACGGACCAAGGAGUCGUCCAUUAGAGCGAGCGUUUGGGUGUAAAACCCGCACGCGUAAUGAAAGUGAAAUUAGGUGAGAGCUUCGGCGCAUCAUCGACCGAUCCUGAUGUUCUCGGAUGGAUUUGAGUAAGAGUUUUAACGGACGGACCCGAAAGACAGUGAACUAUGCUUGUAUAGGGUGAAGCCAGAGGAAACUCUGGUGGAGGCUCGCAGCGGUUCUGACGUGCAAAUCGAUCGUCAAAUAUGAGCAUGG